ACGCACGCUGGCGGCGUGCUUAACACAUGCAAGUCGAACGGUGAAGCGCCUUCCUUUUUGGUGGGUGUGGAUGAGUGGCGAACGGGUGAGUAACACGUGAGUAACCUGCCCCCUUCUUCUGGAUAACCGCAUGAAAGUGUGGCUAAUACGGGAUAUUCUGGGUCUGUCGCAUGAUGGGUCUGGGAAAGAUAUUGUUUCGGUGGGGGAUGGGCUCGCGGCCUAUCAGCUUGUUGGUGGGGUGAUGGCCUACCAAGGCGGUGACGGGUAGCCGGCCUGAGAGGGUGGACGGUCACACUGGGACUGAGACACGGCCCAGACUCCUACGGGAGGCAGCAGUGGGGAAUAUUGCACAAUGGGCGCAAGCCUGAUGCAGCGACGCCGCGUGAGGGAUGGAGGCCUUCGGGUUGUGAACCUCUUUCGCCAGUGAAGCAGGCCUGCCUCGUUUGUGGGUGGGUUGACGGUAGCUGGAUAAGAAGCGCCGGCUAACUACGUG
rnacentral:rRNA from 1 species